rnacentral:miRNA from 10 species
GUGUCGCCCGAUCCGAGUUAUG